GCAUUGGUGGUUCAGUGGUAGAAUUCUCGCCUGCCACGCGUGAGGCCCGGAUUCGAUUCCGGCCAAUGCA
rnacentral:tRNA from 1 species